UGCUUGGAUAACGUCAGCAUUUGGAACGGCAACUCCAUUUCUGCCCACUCGGGCACUUCUCCACUUCAAUACGUGAAAAAGCCCACUUCCAGGAAGCCUUCCACGUUUACGUCCAUAUAAGCCAUCAUUUACUUUGAAGUGGAGCAGUCUCGGGGUUGCCGCCGCCGCUGCCGCCAUCGUGCCAGCCCCUCGGAUUGAUGCAUCAUGCCUUACGUGGGAAGGACAGCAAUUCCAGGGGAAAGCUGCCAUUGUGGAGAAAUUGUCUAGCCUUCCAUUCCAGAAAAUCCAGCACAGCAUCACGGCGCAGGACCAUCAGCCCACACCAGACAGCUGCAUCAUCAGCAUGGUUGUGGGCCAGCUUAAGGCCGAUGAAGACCCCAUCAUGGGGUUACACCAGAUGUUCCUAUUAAAGAACAUCAACGAUGCUUGGGUUUGCACCAAUGACAUGUUCAGGCUUGCCCUGCACAACUUUGGCUGACCUCCUCCCAGCCAGGCACUCAUGCUGUUUCCUCCUCCCUCCUCUUCCCGAUACUAUUCACACUCCUCCAGAUGCUCCAAAUAUCAUUCACAAAUGAGCAGGGCCGCGGUGGCCGUGGGCGCAGUGCGCUGCUGCUACCGAGGUGUUGUGCAUGAUGUUUGGACGCUAGACUAGUUGCAUCUGACAAGAGAAGUUUGUGCUGUACCAGCGCAUGCCUUGGAAAGACUUAAGUAAUGCAAAAGGUUGUCUUUUUUUUUUUUUUUAAUCUACUGACAAGUUGCUCUAGUAACCCAAAGAAGUGAAGGAGAAAGCAGCUGCCUCACCGCCCAGAUAUUGAUUUGUUCAGAUAUUUCAAUGCCUCAUGAUACAAUAAAACCACGAAAAUUUUCUU